rnacentral:rRNA from 1 species
AAUCAACGCUGGCGGCGUGCCUCAGACAUGCAAGUCGAACGAGAAAGUUCCCUUCGGGGAGCGAGUAAAGUGGCGCACGGGUGAGUAACACGUAGGUAAUCUACCUUCGGGUGGGGAAUAACCCAGGGAAACUUGGGCUAACACCGCAUAAUGCAGCGGCACCACAUGGUGACAGUUGUUAAAGCGGGGGAUUUUCGGACCUCGCGCCUGAAGAGGAGCCUGCGGCGGAUUAGCUAGUUGGUAAGGUAACGGCUUACCAAGGCGACGAUCCGUAGCCGGCCUGAGAGGGCGGUCGGCCACACUGACACUGACAUACGGGUCAGACUCCUACGGGAGGCAGCAGUCGGGAAUUUUGGGCAAUGGGCGAAAGCCUGACCCAGCAACGCCGCGUGAAGGAUGAAAUCCCUCGGGAUGUAAACUUCGCAAGAAUGGGAAGAAUAAGUAGGGGACAAUACCCCUAUGAUGACGGUACCAUUUGUAAGCUCCGGCU